rnacentral:rRNA from 1 species
UUCCCUAACGGGUCGGUGGUAAGAGGUAGGGAGCUAAGGAGAGGGAGAGGGAACAGAAAGCGGCGGCGGUGGCCGCUGGAGGAGUGUCGACGACGGUGGUGGGUGCGGGAGGGGGUGCAGGCUCCGACGGUGGGGAAGAGAGGAGGAGAGUGGAAGAGGAGUGGUAGGUGCUGGGGGAGGGGAGGGGGAGCGGGGUUUAGCUCGUCGUCCGGGCCUGACUGCGUCCGAGUCUAGGCCGUCCGGGUGUUGGGACCAAGGCGAAGUCCUGCGGUACCUGUAUGUCGGUACCUAUUCCUCUUGUAGAGAGAUAGAGAGAAACGACUUAGUUCAACCACGACGACGUUGGAGUGGGGGAGGGGGGUUGUUCGUCGGGGUUGGGAUCGGGAGGAAGGUACUAUUGAUCCUCCACAUCGUGUCUACAAUCGUUUCUUUAAACUAUGGAAUUAUUGGUUAUUUUUAUACUACUACGAUCUCCAACGACGGUACCUCUUUCUUCAAUGUCGAUACACACAGCUCUUCCUAGUUCUUUACUUUCGGUACGUCGAACGAUUAAGUUUUGCCAAGAAAAGAACUAACAAAACUAUCAGUGAUAAACAUUCAAUAGACAGGUUAUACUUUAGUAUCACUAAUAAUGACAUCAGGUUCGAACUCAUACAUAACGAUGUUGUGACGAACAAAUUCCCCUUUUUCUCGAGGUGAUAUUUGACUGUACGGUUUAUAGAACUAUCUCUUUUAUACCACCUAUUAGUAUAUGAGGCAUAAUAAAUCAGACUGAACCUGUUUCAAACGGUGACCGUUUUGAAACUCUCUACUCUUCAAUAAUGAAUACUUAGUUCAAAGCGUAUUUUUUUAGAGUUUUUUUUUUUUUUUUGUAGUUCUCAACGUCCAAUAUGGUGCAAGACAUCGAUAAUAAUAUAUACAUUAACUCUUUAGGUGUGAUUGUAAUCGUAGGAGUCGCUCAGUCACAAUGAUACUAGGAACGUUACUUGUCUAUCUAGAAGUACGUACCUUGACCAAGUCUCCUACUUGGACAGUAUGAGUACCGCAUGCAACGACCACAUGGGCGACGAUGGCCGGUUCUUCUUAUUUUUCCUGGCCUCCCUCAUAUAAAAAGAGGACUAUCCUAAUAACGUGAGUGGUAAACUCAUGAGUCCAUAAACAAGAGUAGAAAUACUACUACCAUUACUUACAAGUCCCGUACGUCAUAAAAGCUCAGUAAAACUGAAGAACGGUAUACAACCGGCUGAGAGUAAGCCAAGUCUAUAAAGAGAAGGAACGAAACCGAGCUUCAAGAAUGAACGUUUUCACUUUGUGAUAGUCAACUUUAGACUACCGGUGUUAGUACAAAUGAGAAACACGUGAACUUAAUCCAAAUCGUUUUUUUAGGUAAAAAAAUUUGUAAGUUCUGUCAUCUUUAAUCCUUUCUGAGGAUGACUGUAUAUAUAAUUAUAAAGUAUGAUUGUUCAAUGUACAUCGUACAAAAAACAAUGUUAUGUAAAUCACCAUGUAUAUAUAAAGUAUGUUUGUUAGGGAUAUAUAUAUCGGAGCUCCGUCAAUUAGUCCAAAGACUUAACCAAGUCUAAGAGAUGUCCAAAUGCUAGAAGUAACAACCACUGCGUUUAAAAACGUGACGAUGAUUAACAUGAUAUACAAUAAGAAAUCAUCCCUAUAACCGUACCCCUAUUGUAUAAUUUUGUUCUUAUUAGUAGUGAGAGUGUCUAUGUAAUGAUGCAAGAAAACAAAGUAACUCUGGAUAAAACAAAUGAACAGAGUAGAGCUCUGUUUGAAGAGACUUAAAACAACUAAGUGUAACUUAUUGUGUAAACUCGCCUUCCACAACUCACCCGCUGAAGUCCCUAACCACUCAAGGUUGAGUUAGUACAGAGGGACGUGGGGUGAUUUAGACUAAGAAUGAAAAAAAAUAGAGCGGACUAUAAUCAAGAACCAUAAGAGGGACGGAUUAAUAAAAGAAAGAACAAGGGUCUCAAGAAUGAAUGAUGAGGAAUACAAGUAUUUACUACCACCCUGAUAAUAUACGAGGAAUGGCUACAUUAUAUAACCAACCAAAACUAGUUUUAGUUUACCCGAAGAAGAUCCAAACGAUCUUUUACUACGUUCUGUUGUUCCUUCCUGGACUAGUCGGCCGCCUGCACAGCCGACGACGUCGACCACCAAGAAAUCCGCUCGUUCCCAUCGCAGCAGGAAGAGGACGAGUUCUGUGACGCAGUUAGAACCACCGUGCGCGUUGGUGACCAACGUGAUGCUACUCGUGCUUAAGAGUCAGCAGCUCUACGGUAGUAAGUCGUUACUCCUUCCGCCGAACCACCCCAGCCGCCUCCCACAACAGACCAACACCACCUGCACUUCCGCCUGCUUAAGUAAUGUUUCAAGAUACACAUCUACUUGAUGUACUAAUUCUCCUCGUUAGUAUACAUUACGUAUUCGACAUGUACAGCACAAUAGUUAGUCUCCAUUUUAGGUUACUUUUCCGCCGUGGGAUGGACCGUGGCGUGUUUGAAAGAGAGUCCUCCGCGGUGCCCACCGCGGGGUUGG